CUGUGACAAGAUGGAACUUGGCAUCAGUAACUCAUGUACUAUGGGUGAAGCAUGCUCAGAAGAGAUAGUCCUGCAUCUUGUAAAUGGCUCUGGGUGAAUCCAAAGAACUGCAUGUGAUUUGUCAGGCGUUUUUAAGAUAAAUGGUAAAACUGAACUGGAAAUCCAUCUGGCCAGCUGCCUGAUCUAAUGAAUAACCCCACUUUGGCUCCUGCAAUGUAAGCAGAAAGAGUUCUCUCCCGGCCGCUUUCGUCUGUCAUGAAUCUACAAGACAGCCGACAUAAUAUCUGGGCGACAACAGCGUGCUAACAGUGCAGUGACUUCCAUUUUCUUUGCUUUCUAUUGAUUUUCACUUAAUAACUGGCGAA
rnacentral:lncRNA from 1 species